GGCAUCGUGGCCGAGCGGCUAGGCACCGGUCUGCAAAACCGACUACUCCGGUUCGAACCCGGACGAUGCCU
rnacentral:tRNA from 1 species